AAUGCUCCCUUUAAAGACAGCAAUAUUUGGGGACGGAGGGAUUCACCAAAGAGAAGUAACUCAAGAGGGCCUGAGAUCUGGAGGACUGUUGCUGGAGUAAACUGGCAUAAUUGUGAUGCCCACCUCCAGACCAGACUAAUUGCAGGCAGAGAAACAGAGAGCAGGGAGGCAUGGUGAUGUCCAAGCCCAGCCGUAGAGUGGGACAUUAUCUGGAAAAGAAGGACACCCACCCCAGAAGGCCAGCUGGGGAGCUAUUGCAAUAGUGUGGUUCACACGAUGCGAGUUGGCAUUUGAGUUCUCCCUGGAAGCAUGGAGGAGUGUGGAUAGGAGACACCGCCAGUUCUGUUUACAGGUCACCACAGACCCGUUUCCCAAGCCAGUGAAAACCCACACUGUACCACAGAUGGAUUGUAACGGAUGGAUCUUUUUUCCAACAUGUGGCUUCCUGUAAUUUAAGGAAAUGUUAUACGUGAACAAUUAAAAUCAUAUAUCAAAAAAGAAGCAAAGCCCCAAUAGUUUCCUAUUCUAUCAAAUUACAAAAAUUG